UGCCCAGCAUCCGAGCAACAGGACCGCGAAUGCCUGACAGCAGCAGCGCCACCGCUCCGCGAUUUGCGCUCUGGCCACUGAAGCCCCACACGGCCGGGACAAGCAUGAGGCGGUGGCACCCACGGAAGGCGUGACGUCGUGGCCUGCGGAGCCCAGGAUGGACGCUUGGAGCACGUCCAUCAGAGCACCAAGGACCUCUGCAGGAGCCACAGCCCUAAAGACUCACGAUGGCACCGAACACCUCUGCGCUCUGUUAACCUCACAGCUCUCAACUGGCCCCAGGACAGGAUGAGGCACUCAGUUCUGCAGCUUGCUCCCAUUCACACCUGGUUCUGUCAUCACUGGCCUCAUUAGUGAGAUCUGGGCCCACCAUUAAGGAUCAGUAUGAAAGUUCUACCAGCAUCAGUCUUCAGAAUCAUUUUCAGAAGCUGUUGGAACAACACAGUGUAAUCGGAAGCCUUGACAAAGAUCUGUGAAAUUAAAGCACUUUAGGGUGAGUAGAGGACAUAAAGGUGACCUUAUAAUAUUAAAUAGCAGACUGUAGCACCCACCCAAACCUUUAAAGAGUCAAAUUCUAAAUUUCUCAAAGCACACGUUUCAAUUAGUACAAGGAGCAAGGGCUGGGGAAGUUCUGGAGCGGUCAAACAUGCUGUCCAGAUUUGGAUCGCCUCCUUCGCCUCCACACUGAUGGACAGAAGCUACCCCUCUGUAUGGCAUACAUUUUAUACCGUGUGUGUAACUAUAGGGUGGCUUGAAAGCACUUUUUUCCUGAAUUCUUAUAAUUCUGCAGGCAGCACUGUUACUGAUACAGGAUGAUAGUGAUACAGCCUCUUCACCAAAACAGAAAAGGAAAGAUUCAGUCCUCAGUAAAAGUACAAUUUUAAAAGUGACUAUGUCUGUGCAUGUCAGUUUUCCAACCCAUAGCUUGGCUGAGCAAAUGAACGCUUAGGAAAAUCUAAGAAUGUUCAGAUGUUUAAAAAUUUAUUUAGAGACAGAUAAGAGGCAUACUUGUUUCUUGUUAUUUCAGCCAUUAGCAUAAGAAGGGUAAUGUUGUCUAAGUACUGAGGGCUUUUAGCAUCAUCCUAAAUGAUGCAAGUGCAAUGUAAGAUGUGUGCUGCAUAUAGACCCACCAAGAAUUAUUUCAGCUAAUUCCAUUCCUUUAUUGGAAAGUGAACAGAGGAGUAGCUCUGCUAAAGGAAAGAUGGAGCAGAAAAAUCUAAUUGAAGCAAAGUGGGAUGUAAAGUAUCGUGCAGCAUUAGUAGCUGUAUGCCAGUCCAAGUGAAACUGCUGACUGUAACUCGCUCUUACAUAUCGCAAUCCAAUGUGUUCCUAGCAAGGUCUUGCUAUAAAGAGGCUUGGCUAAUGCCCUUCUUAUUUUCCACAAGUCUUUCAGGGCAAUGGUUUCAAGAAAUACUGCCAAAUACCCAUACAUGUCUUCAGACUUCUCUCCCAAAUAAUUCUUUAGCUUUCUUAUUCUCUUAGUCUCAGCACUGAAGCCUUUUAAAAAUUCAUCUCACUUUGUGUCCCAGCCAAAGUCCCUGAUUUUCUCUCCCCGCUUCACUACAUCAUUGUCAUCUCCUUGCCAAGAACUCAGAAGAAACAUUAUUUUUAUUUUUACAGGUUUCUUUCACUUCUAAUUCUAAAAACUCCUCAAAGCUGAAAUUCUUUUCAGCCUUUUGUGACUUUCAAUUUCACUUAUUCUCACUUAUGCUACGUCCUCUCCCUUUUUUCUUUCAACUUUUCCUUUCCUUUCCUUUCCUUUCCUUUCCUUUC